GGACGUGAGGGUGAUCUGGCUGUGACAUCUGUCGCCCCAUUGAUCGCCAGGGUUGAUUUGGCUGAUCUGGCUGGCUAGGCGGGUGUCCCCUUCCUCACCACUCCAUGUGCAUCCCUCCCAAAGCUGUGCACUUGGUCAAAGAGGACAACCAGCCCUGAUAGAGGAGGACUGUUUCCUCAGUCAAGGGUAUAUGAGUAGCUGCGCUCCCCUGCUAGAACCUCCAAAUGAGCUCUCAAGGAAUCAGCAAGACUCCACCCACUGCAAGCUCAAAAAUGCAAAAGUGUCACCAGUCAUUU
rnacentral:snRNA from 1 species